GCCAUCCUCAUCUUGGGGUUGUGCUACUGUCCAAUGAACGUCUAGUGAGGAUAGUACUGCUAACGCCUAAAGAAAACAAAUCAAACAAAGGGGACAUCUGUAAUACUUUCAACA